rnacentral:rRNA from 1 species
UACGUAGGUGGCAAGCGUUGUCCGGAUUUACUGGGCGUAAAGAGCUCGUAGGCGGUGUGUCGCGUCGGCCGUGAAAACCUGCAGCUUAACUGUGGGCGUGCGGUCGAUACGGGCAUCACUGGAGUUCGGCAGGGGAGACUGGAAUUCCUGGUGUAGCGGUGAAAUGCGCAGAUAUCAGGAGGAACACCGGUGGCGAAGGCGGGUCUCUGGGCCGAUACUGACGCUGAGGAGCGAAAGCGUGGGGAGCAAACAGG